rnacentral:rRNA from 1 species
AGAAUCAACGCUGGCGGCGUGCCUAACACAUGCAAGUCGAGCGAGAAAGUGGAGCAAUCCAUGAGUAAAGUGGCGACCGGGUGAGUAACACGUGACUAACCUACCCUUGAGUGGGGGAUAACUGAGGGAAACCUUAGCUAAUACCGCAUAAUACCCACGGGUCAAAGGAGCAAUUCGCUCGAGGAGGGGGUCGCGGCCGAUUAGUUAGUUGGCGGGGUAAUGGCCCACCAAGACGAUGAUCGGUA